rnacentral:tRNA from 1 species
GUCUCCGUGGUGUAGUGGAUAGCACACUCGCUUGUUACGCGAAAGGUUUGGGUUCGAUUCCCGUCGGAUACG